rnacentral:snRNA from 1 species
AUCGCUUCUCGGCCUUUUGGCUAAGAUCAAGUGUAGAAAACAAGUUUCUACUAACAUUUUUUUUUUUUUUUGGUACCGGGGAUUGAACUUGGGUCCUUACGCUUGUGAGGCAGGCAGCAGAACCACUGAGCUAAAUCCCUGGCCCAUAACAUUUUCUUUUUUGAGUGGUGCAAACCAU